AAAAGUAUAGACUCCACACCCACUGUUAAGGUUUCUUUAAUAAAGAUUUUUGACCGCUUACCGGUCAAGUUACAAAAAGGGAAGAGACAGUACGCAAACGAAACCAUUUCUCCGUUUUUGUUGACGUUCGGAGGUUGUUCUAUAUGUUGGCUGUCCAGUGUGCAAGCAUGGCACUGAUGAUUUCAUCAAUUAAUUAUUAUAAUCUGUUGUACUCGUGCACAAAUUUAUUA
rnacentral:misc_RNA from 1 species